UACAGAGGGUGCAAGCGUUAAUCGGAAUUACUGGGCGUAAAGAGCGCGUAGGCGGCCCUGUAAGUCCGCUGUGAAAGUCAAGGGCUCAACCCUUGAAUGCCGGUGGAUACUGCAGGGCUAGAGUCCGGAAGAGGCGAGUGGGAAUUCCUGGUGUAGCGGUGAAAUGCGCAGAUAUCAGGAGGAACACCGAUGGCGAAGGCAGCUCGCUGGGACGGUACUGACGCUGAGGCGCGAAAGCGUGGGGAGCA
rnacentral:rRNA from 1 species